CAAUAGCGUAUAUUAAAGUUGUUGCGGUUAAAAAGCUCGUAGUUGGAUUUCUGCCGAGGACGACCGGUCCGCCCUCUGGGUGUGUAUCUGGUUUGGCCUGGGCAUCUUCUUGGAGAACGUAGCUGCACUUGACUGUGUGGUGCGGUGUCCAGGACUUUUACUUUGAGGAAAUUAGAGUGUUUCAAGCAGGCACACGCCUUGAAUACAUUAGCAUGGAAUAAUAAGAUAGGACCUCGGUUCUAUUUUGUUGGUUUCUAGAGCUGAGGUAAUGAUUAAUAGGGACAGUUGGGGGCACUCGUAUUUAACUGUCAGAGGUGAAAUUCUUGGAUUUGUUAAAGACGAACUACUGCGAAAGCAUUUGCCAAGGAUGUUUUCAUUAA
rnacentral:rRNA from 1 species